rnacentral:rRNA from 1 species
UACGGGGGGGGCAAGCGUUGUUCGGAAUUACUGGGCGUAAAGGGCUCGUAGGCGGCCAACUAAGUCAGACGUGAAAUUCCUCGGCUUAACCGGGGAACUGCAUCUGAUACUGGAUGGCUUGAGUUCGGGAGAGGGAUGCGGAAUUCCAGGUGUAGCGGUGAAAUGCGUAGAUAUCUGGAGGAACACCGGUGGCGAAGGCGGCAUCCUGGACCGACACUGACGCUGAGGAGCGAAAGCCAGGGGAGCAAACGGG